AUUGAACGCUGGCGGAAUGCUUUACACAUGCAAGUCGAACGGUAGAGGGGGCAACCCCUUGAGAGUGGCGAACGGGUGAGUAAUAUAUCGGAACGUGCCCAGUCGUGGGGAUAACGUAGCGAAAGUUACGCUAAUACCGCAUACGAUCUAAGGAUGAAAGCGGGGGACUCGCAAGAGCCUCGCGCGAUUGGAGCGGCCGAUAUCAGAUUAGGUAGUUGGUGGGGUAAAGGCUCACCAAGCCGACGAUCUGUAGCUGGUCUGAGAGGACGACCAGCCACACUGGGACUGAGACACGGCCCAGACUCCUACGGGAGGCAGCAGUGGGGAAUUUUGGACAAUGGGCGCAAGCCUGAUCCAGCAAUGCCGCGUGCAGGAUGAAGGCCUCGUUGGUUAACGUAGUACGUUUGUUACGUUA
rnacentral:rRNA from 1 species